UCUUUAAAAAUCUUCUUCUCAGAAAUUAAUCAGCAAGAUGAUUCUUUAUAAUUGUUAAAACCAUGGCUCCAGGACAAAUCAUCGGCCUCACAAGAAGGUUCAGAGUUUGAUGUAGCUAAAUAUCCCAUAUAUAAACAAUUGUAAAGGAUCUUUUUGAGAACUGCAAUACUCAACAUAUGAUAUGACUAUAAAAUUGAAGCAGGCAGCUAUUUUUUCAUUGGAAUCUUUUUGUAUUACUGUAUUGAGUUAUUGCCCUUGAUUUAUUGAUUCUUGAUUAUUUUAAUUAAUGCAUCCACUGUUAAUCAAUUAUUGUGAUGAUUAUUUUUAUACAAUAAUAAAUAUUCAAUGUAUAUAAGUUGUUCUGCAUAAGAAGUCUUGGGUUAGGCCGGAUUAGUUUGUUUAUUUUUGAUUUCCAAUUUUUAGAUACUAUGAAUUAUUUUAGGCCGGCACAUAUAUAGGGACAGUGUCUAUUGCAUUAUGAUGAGCGUCUGUUUGGGGUUAAACUUGAACAGGUAUGGAUAAAUUGAAUGUGUGAACAUCCCUGCUCUAUUUAAUCUACGUGUUUUCUAACCUUCGAUACAAAGUGUGCGGUCAUUCAUGUCGUGUAUCGCAUUAAUACAAGUGUGCAGUCAUACCUGCUUGUAUUAGUGGUGGUUGCGGCGGAGCACUAAUGUAUGGUCAUCCCUGCUGGUGUUCAGGCCUUUCUAGCGCAAGUGUGCGGCACUCCCUGCUUGCGUUAGGUUGAGCUGUUGGCGCAAGUGUGCGGUCAUCCCUGCCUGCGUAAUGUUGAGUCCCUAUAUAUGUGCAGGAGCGGUGAUUAAAGUCUGCUCUUGUAAAUAUUGGCAGCAAUCAGGGCUAUCCGAGUUCCAAGGGGGAAAAAUGGAUUUUAUUUAUACAGGAUCUACAUGUAUUAUUGUACAUUGUCCAGAUUGUUUGUA